GUAGAUGGCAAGCGUUGUCCGGAAUUAUUGGGCGUAAAGCGCGCGCAGGCGGUCCUUUAAGUCUGAUGUGAAAGCCCACGGCUCAACCGUGGAGGGUCAUUGGAAACUGGGGGACUUGAGUACAGAAGAGGAAAGCGGAAUUCCAAGUGUAGCGGUGAAAUGCGUAGAGAUUUGGAGGAACACCAGUGGCGAAGGCGGCUUUCUGGUCUGUAACUGACGCUGAGGCGCGAAAGCGUGGGGAGCAAACAGGAUUAGAUACCCUGGUAGUCCACGCCGUAAACGAUGAGUGCUAAGUGUUAGGGGGUUUCCCGCCCCCUUAGUGCUGCAGCUAACGCAUUAAGCACUCCGCCUGGGGAGUACGGCCGCAAGGCUG
rnacentral:rRNA from 1 species